AUUUUGGUUGCGAUAUAUCGACUUUGAUUUGAUUUUUUUUUUUUUUUUGUCUUCGGUCUCUUCUCCCUCCUCCUUCCCCCGAUGAGCUUCUCUCCUCGCUCUGCACUUUGCACGAGAAAGCGCAGAGGAAAGGCACCAUGAAGUGUUAAAAAUAACAAAACAAAAGCAAAAAAAAAAAAAAAGAGAGAGAGAGAGAGGAAAAAAAUUUCCUCGCAACAACACCCGCGAACGCUUCCAGCUGCAGUUUGCGAGAGAGAAAGAGAGAGAAGGGAGGAAAGAGCCGUGCGUGCAGAAGGCGCAGAGCCCCUCGCUCUGAUGCAGCAGCGGCAGCGGAGGCUCUGCAGGGGAUAACGCGGAGCGGGCGGAGCGCGGCGCGGCGCGGCGGAGGAACGGACGGACGGACGGGCGGACGGACGGACGGACAGCAAAGCUGGCUCACCCGGCGGCAGCGCAGAGCAGCGCCCUCGCUCCCGGAGCGCACCCUUUCUGGAGGACUGUCAGCAGCAAAAGGAUGGCAUCAGAACUGGCAAUGAGCGGCUCCGACCUGCCCACCAGUCCCCUGGCCAUGGAAUAUGUUAAUGACUUCGAUCUGAUGAAGUUUGAAGUGAAAAAGGAGCCGGUGGAGACCGAUCGCAUUAUCAGCCAGUGCGGCCGCUUGAUCGCCGGGGGAUCGCUCUCUUCCACCCCGAUGAGCACGCCCUGCAGCUCGGUGCCCCCGUCCCCCAGCUUCUCGGCGCCCAGCCCCGGCUCCGGCACCGACCAGAAGACCCACCUGGAAGACUACUACUGGAUGACGGGCUACCCGCAGCAGCUCAACCCCGAGGCGCUGGGCUUCAGCCCCGAGGACGCGGUGGAGGCGCUGAUCAACAGCAGCCACCACCCGCUGCCCGGCGCCUUCGAUGGCUAUGCUAGAGGGCAGCAGCUGGCCGCGGCCGCCGGCGGCUCGGUGCCGGCCGAGGAGAUGGGCUCGGCGGCCGCCGUGGUGUCGGCGGUGAUCGCCGCGGCGGCGGCGCAGGGCGGCGCGCCCCACUACCACCACCACCACCACCACCCGCACCACGGCGGCGGCGGCGGCGGCGGCGGACACCCCCACGGCGCGGCGCCGGGCAGCGCGCCGCCCUCCUCCGCCUCCUCCUCGGCCGCGGGCUCCGGAGGCGGCGGCGGCGGCGGCGGAGGCGCCGGGGGGCUGCACCACCCGCACCACGGAGGAGGAGGCGGCGGCGGCGGCCUGCACUUCGACGACCGCUUCUCCGACGAGCAGCUGGUCACCAUGUCGGUGCGGGAGCUGAACCGGCAGCUGCGGGGCGUCAGCAAGGAAGAGGUGAUCCGGCUGAAGCAGAAGAGGAGGACCCUCAAAAACAGGGGCUAUGCCCAGUCCUGCCGCUUCAAGAGGGUCCAGCAGCGGCACGUCCUGGAGUCGGAGAAGAACCAGCUGCUGCAGCAAGUGGAGCACCUAAAGCAGGAGAUCUCCAGGCUGGUCCGGGAGAGGGACGCCUACAAGGAAAAGUACGAGAAGCUGGUCAGCAAUGGCUUCCGAGAAAACGGAUCCAGCAGCGACAACCCCUCCUCUCCAGAGUUUUUCAUCACGUUGUGCACAGUCCCCUCUGGCAGAGCAGCGCUGGCGGAGCAUUGAGGCUGGUUGAGGAGCUGACCUCGGUGAUAGGAAGGAGGGAGAUGGGAAAGGAAUAGCGCUGUGCGGACGCGACGUUGCCACCCGUUAGAAACCAGGGGACUCUGCGUAACUAAAGGAUCCAUCACUGCAUCCCAGGCUUAGCCCCGGUGCGCUCCCAGGCGGCUCCAGUUGGCUGAUCCUCCCCUAGGUACCCGAGAGAAUCUUCUACAACGGUGAUGUGAAAAUCCCUGUUACCUGAGGUCAGAACAAAAGUCUCCCAGAAGACCUGGAGUGGUGACGUCUGGACUGAGAAGAGAUCACACUGCUUAUAAAUCUGCACCAUGAGGAGGCCAAAAGUUUCUUCAGCAGCAGGAGGUAAGCCAGGACUGCUGGCGGGUAUGAGGACCAGAGAGCAAUGUUCCAUACAUUGAAGAAGAAGAAAGUGGUGCUUUUGAGGAAUAGACUUUGAAUCAGCAUCACAGUCCUCCAGAGAAAGCUCAAAGAGCUCUUCAGGUGGGAGCACACCACCCAGCCAGCUGCUUGUUGGGUUUAGCCCAUGGACGUCUGGGGUCUGCACACCAGAGACUGAGAACUCUUGACUUAUCUUAAAUUUCCUCUUUGUGGACUUCUGAUGUGACAGGAAUGGCACCAAAAAUUCAAUGUACCUGCUUUGCCAUAACUUUUCCAUACUGCUGACUUUCCCAGGACUACAUUCCGUUCAAAUUACGGGAACUUAAUUACGUGAGGCUUAAUUUCAGUUGCUUGGCCAGCUUUAAAAAUAUAUAUUCAAAUUUGGACCUCGGGGGCAGAAUCUGGGGAGCCUCUUUGUCCUUUCGCUUUGUGUUAACGUAAGUGAAGAAACUAUGCCUGUGAAUCUCUGCUUUAUUACACCUAUUCCAAGUCAGUCUCACUUCUGCUGAGACUUCCCAGACUUUCAGCAAUGCAAGAGGGGGCAUGAAAUACCCCUAAUAUUAUAGUCUAUGCUUCUGAAACAGUCAAAAGAUAUUUGUCUCCUGCUUACGUGUUUUCUUGUAAAUAAAACGCGUUGAGACCAGAUACGGUGUUACACUGAUUUUACACCAGAAAAAAAAAAAAAACAUGUAUUGUCAUUUUACAUAAAAAUGCUGUGUUGUCUGUAUGUAUGUUGAGUAAAUGUUAAAGUGUUUAAUUGCAAUGUAAAAGAUUGGAGAGGGAGAACUGAAGGAGGGGCAUGGAAGAGAGAGAAGGUAAAAGGACACAGAAGGGGAAUGGUGGAAUUGGAGGCUGGUAUUGUCAGAGCAUUACUGGAGAAUUCCUAUGAUUGGGACUUAUUACCUUCCUAACACUCCUUUCAUUAUCUGCUGCUAGAGUGAUCAGUAAUGAAUGGCCUCCCAGUUUCAUUGCUCACUCCCUCUAGAAGCUUUUGCAUCAUUUGCUCCCCUCCCCAAGAUCUCUUUUCUUAAGUUCUAAGAAAUUAAGGCGCUAAGAUUUCACUUUUCUGCUGUAGUUGAUGUGUUCUUCUGGUAUAUCUAUGUUGUUACUUUGAUAGCAAGGGCCCCACAGCACUUUGUGUUACACUUCCAUCUAUCACAUUGUGAUGAUCAAGAAUACAUUGCAGCUGAUGCGCAAACACUGAUGUAUAUCUGGAGUUGGGCACCCACCUCCAACUCAGCAGAUUAAAAACAAGGCAACAAGGAAGAUGUGUUUUGUUUGUGGGGUUUGUUU